rnacentral:rRNA from 1 species
UACGUAGGGGGCAAGCGUUGUCCGGAAUUAUUGGGCGUAAAGAGCGCGUAGGCGGUCCGGUAAGUCGGUUGUGAAAACUGGGGGCUCAACCCUCAGAGGCCGACCGAUACUGUCGGGCUAGAGUCCGGAAGAGGCGAGUGGAAUUCCUGGUGUAGCGGUGAAAUGCGUAGAUAUCUGGAGGAACACCGGUGGCGAAGGCGGCAUCCUGGACCGGUAUUGACGCUGAGGCGCGAAAGCCAGGGGAGCAAACGGG